CCUUUGACGUUAGCGGCGGACGGGUGAGUAACACGUGGGUAACCUACCUAUAAGACUGGGAUAACUUCGGGAAACCGGAGCUAAUACCGGAUAAUAUUUCGAACCGCAUGGUUCGAUAGUGAAAGANGGUUUUGCUAUCACUUAUAGAUGGACCUGCGCCGUAUUAUCUAGUUGGUAAGGUAACGGCUUACCAAGGCGACGAUACGUAGCCGACCUGAGAGGGUGAUCGGCCACACUGGAACUGAGACACGGUCCAGACUCCUACGGGAGGCAGCAGGG
rnacentral:rRNA from 1 species